UGGCGGACGGGUGAGUAACGCGUAAAGAACUUGCCCUUUAGACUGGGAUAACAGAGGGAAACUUCUGAUAAUACUGGAUAAGUUAGUAUAUCGCAUGAUAUGCAAAUGAAAGCUACGGCACUAAAGGAGAGCUUUGCGUCCUAUUAGCUAGUUGGUAAGGUAAGAGCUUACCAAGGCGAUGAUAGGUAGCCGGCCUGAGAGGGUGGACGGCCACAAGGGGACUGAGAUACGGCCCUUACUCCUACGGGAGGCAGCAGCA
rnacentral:rRNA from 1 species